ensembl:snoRNA SNORD14 Small nucleolar RNA SNORD14
CCGCUGUGAUGAUUGACUCCAAAACCAUUCGUAGUUUCCACCAGAAUAAUCCUUGUUGGCAAGUUCCUUCCUUGGAUGUCUGAGCGA